rnacentral:rRNA from 1 species
AGCGAACGCUGGCGGCAGGCCUAACACAUGCAAGUCGAACGAACCCACCGGGGUUAGUGGCGGACGGGUGUGUCACACGUGGGAACGUGCCUGUAGGCUUGGAAUAAUUCAUGGUCACUUGUGCUAACACCGAAUGAGUUCCUCUGGGGCAAGAUUCAUCGCCCUUAGAGAGGCCGGCGUUGGUUUAGCUAGUUGAGUGUGGAUAUGGCUCAGCAAGGUGAGGAACAGUAGCUGGUCUGGGAGGAAGAACAGCGACAUUGGGACUGAGACACAGCCCAGACUCCUACGGGAGGCAGCAGUGGCGAAUCCAGCGCAAUGGGCGAAAGCCUGACGCAGCCAUGCCGGGUGAAUGAUGUAGGUGUGAGGAAAGUAAAAUUCUUUAACCGGGGGCGGUAAUGACGGUACCCGGAGAAGAAGCCCCGGCUAACUUCGUG